GAUGAACGCUGGCGGUGUGCCUAAAACAUGCAAGUCGAGCGAACAGACGAGGAGCUCGCUCCUCUGAUGCUAGCGACUGACGGGCGAGUAACACGUGGAUAAGCCACCUAUAAGACUUGGGUAACUUCGUGAAACCGGAGCUAAUACUGGAUCAUAUAUCUAACGGCAUGGUUCAAUAGCGCAACACGGUUUUCGUGUAUCUAACAGAUGAAUCCGCGUCGCAUUAGCUGGUUGGUAAGGUAACGGCUUACCAAGGCAACGAUGCGUAGCCGACCUGAGAGGCUCAUCCGCCACACUGGAACUGAGACACGCUCCAGCCUCCCAAGGGAGCCAGCAGUAGGGAAUCAUGCGCCAUGGGCGAAAGCCUGAGCAAGCAACACGGCGUGGGUGCUGAAGGUCUUCGGGUCGUAAAACGCUGUUGUUGGGGAAGAAUAGCUGACUCUUUAUCUACCCCUGUAUUGACGGUACCAGCUCAGUAAGCAACGGCUCACUGCGUG
rnacentral:rRNA from 1 species